GAACCCGUAUGAGUGGAGUAUGACUGGAGAGGUGUUGGCAUAUGAGAGGUCGUUGGCCAAGAAAAAAUUUCUUCGGGUUUUCUCUUUCAGUCGAAAACAUUUGGUCGGCUAAAUUUCAUUCCCCUCUCAAACAAAAUCGUUGACGUCGGUGAAGAAGAUUGUUUUCGCCGACCGAUUAAGAAAGAAAGAAGGAGAGGAAGAAAACGCUGCGUAUAUCCUAAUGCAGAGGAUAUUCCCAAAAGUCUCAAACAUGUUCUGAGAAUCUAUGGUGCUUACCUCAAGAACAAGGAGAAGCUGAGGACGGCUGUGGAUAUCAUGAGGAGUUGAGAUCAUGAGGCACAUGCCUGUGCAUCCCAAUGUCGUCACCUUGAAGGAGACUUAGGAGGAUGAGCAUGCCGUGCAUCUCGUUAUGGAGCUUUGUGAAGAAGGUGAGUUUUUUGAUAGGAUUGUUGCCAGAGGUCAUUACACCGAGAGAGCUGCUGCUUCUGUCACUAAGACCAUCAUGGAAGUUGUUCAGGGUCUAGUUUUGGAUUUUUGGACAUUGUUGCAAUGUAGCAUUGCUUGAAGAGUACUCUUUGAUUUCGGUUUCUCUGUUUUCUUCAAACCAGGUAUUGUGUUAAUUAAUAUUUUAUUCGUAGAUCCCAUCAACGAGUUUAUUAUUGGAGCUGCAUUUUAGGAUGAGUAUCAUUACUAUGAAAAAAAACCCAAAUAAUAUUAAAAAAAGGCUAUGAACCCCCCAUGAGGUUUAUUGUUGGAGAUGCCCUAAGAUCAGUUGUACCUCUUGAAUCUUGAUAAUAAGCUUCAUUUUGGCGGUGGAGUAAUAAUGGAGUUAAAAAAUCGUAUUGGCGAAUGUCGAACCAUACCAGAAUGCAAAACUGCAAGCAUAUUUAUUGUUUAUUUUGUAACUAGGCCUCAAAUUUCCGCGAAAUUGCAGGAAGAAAACUGUAUAUUAAA